UGCCACAGUCAUUUCACCCUGCAGCCCAAGACUGGUUGCCCACUGAAGCUAAGCAGGGCUGAGUCUGAUCAGUACCUGGAUGGGAGACCUCCUGCGAAAGCUAGGUUGCUGUUGGAA
ensembl:rRNA 5S_rRNA 5S ribosomal RNA